rnacentral:rRNA from 1 species
UAGGGAAUCUUCCACAAUGGACGAAAGUCUGAUGGAGCAACGCCGCGUGAGUGAAGAAGGUUUUCGGAUCGUAAAACUCUGUUGUAAGGGAAGAACACGUACGAGAGUAACUGCUCGUACCUUGACGGUACCUUAUUAGAAAGCCACGGCUAACUACGUGCCAGCAGCCGCGGUAAUACGUAGGUGGCAAGCGUUGUCCGGAAUUAUUGGGCGUAAAGCGCGCGCAGGCGGUCCUUUAAGUCUGAUGUGAAAGCCCACGGCUCAACCGUGGAGGGUCAUUGGAAACUGGGGGACUUGAGUGCAGAAGAGGAAAGCGGAAUUCCACGUGUAGCGGUGAAAUGCGUAGAGAUGUGGAGGAACACCAGUGGCGAAGGCGGCUUUCUGGUCUGUAACUGACGCUGAGGCGCGAAAGCGUGGGGAGCAAACAGGAUUAGAUACCCCUGGUAGUCCACGCCGUAAACGAUGAGUGCUAAGUGUUAGGGGGUUUCCGCCCCUUAGUGCUGCAGCUAACG